rnacentral:lncRNA from 1 species
CAAACUCGCUCGCUCAGACUUUUGCCCCAGAGGCUUCCAGUCUGUUCCAGCCUGGUGGCUGCUACCUGGAGCUCUCUGUCCGAAGUCUAAGACAGGAAGUAAACAUCUUGAUUGGAAGAGAAAGCUACGUGGGAAAAGGGAAUAGCAGAUCACCAGAGGGAAAAAUCUGCCUGGAGUUCAUCAGGUUCCUAAAGGACAAGCCAGGUAGAAAAGGCUGCAGAACUCUGAGGCUAUUCCACAUCACCUGGAGAAAACUGGUAAGUUGCCUUUUGUCUGAGAUUUCAGAGCAGUCUUUGAGUGUGCUCACUCUGCUGUUUUCUUCCUUUCCCUUCCCUGUGGAAUCUCAUCACUGUCAGUCCUGUUUACAUUUUUGUCUUC